rnacentral:rRNA from 1 species
AGAGCGAACGCUGGCGGCAGGCCUAAUACAUGCAAGUCGAACGCACCUUCGGGUGAGUGGCGGACGGGUGAGUAACACGUAGGAACGUGCCUUUUGGUUCGGAAUAAUCCGGGGAAACCUGGCCUAAUACCGGAUGUGCCCUUCGGGGGAAAGAUUUAUCGCCAUUAGAGCGGCCCGCGUCUGAUUAGCUAGUUGGUGAGGUAACGGCCCACCAAGGCGACGAUCAGUAGCUGGUCUGAGAGGAUGAUCAGCCACACUGGGACUGAGACACGGUCCGGACUCCUACGGGAGGCAGCAGUGGGGAAUAUUGGACAAUGGGGGAAACCCUGAUCCAGCGACGCCGCGUGUGUGAAGAAGGCCUGCGGGUUGUAAAGCACUUUUAGUGGGGACAAAAGCUACGGACUAAUAUUCUGUGGUCUUGAUUUAACCCAAAGAAAACGCACCGGCUAACUCUGCGCCAGCAGCCGC